rnacentral:lncRNA from 1 species
UCUUACCCCUGCUACUAUAUCCAAGCUGACCAUGAAGACGAUUUUCUUCAUCUUCGCCUCACAAACCAUUUAUCUCACUAAAAUCCCACCAUCUAGUCUACUGAUGCCACACCCACAUUCCCCUACGCUGUUUGUACCCUUUCUCUCUCACCCAUCAGGCCCGUUCCUCUAUACCACUACUCCACUAAUCCCAUGUUCACUGUCAUCCAUCUCAUGCAUGCAGCCCAUAUCCAUCAAAUCCAUUACCUUCAUAACCCAUUUCUAGACCCAUUAAUACCCUCACAUGCCAACCACUGCCCUUAUCUCUCUAUACCACAUGCCGUUCAUGCAUACAGUCCCCCCAUUGGCCUCCAUCAUCUCAUGCUAUCACAACUCCAUACCCAUCAUCAUUUUCUCGUGCUCACCCGAACUCGCGCACCACCUCCAACACUUCAUCCCCUCUCAUCAUGUCUCUGACGUUGAAGAAGAACCACAAGUCUGCAUCGUGUCACAGGAUGCUUCAAAUGACCCUCCCCAUGGGCUUAUAUAGGAGGAGGGAAGCUUCUGGAGACUCCUGGAGCCAUCUACACUAAGCCAUUGGUGGGA